AACGCGAAGAACCUUACCAGGGCUUGACAUGGGCAAGACGCACGCAGAGAUGCGUGUUCCCGCAAGGGCUUGCCGCACAGGUGCUGCAUGGCUGUCGUCAGCUCGUGUCGUGAGAUGUUGGGUUAAGUCCCGCAACGAGCGCAACCCUCGCCUUCAGUUGCUACCAUUUAGUUGAGCACUCUGACGAAACCGCCUCGGAUAACGGGGAGGAAGGUGGGGAUGACGUCAAGUCCUCAUGGCCUUUAUGUCCAGGGCUACACACGUGCUACAAUGGCCGGUACAAACCGUCGCAAACCCGUGAGGGGGAGCUAAUCGGAAAAAGCCGUACCUCAGUUCGGAUUGCAGUCUGCAACUCGACUGCAUGAAGCUGGAAUCGCUAGUAAUCGCGGAUCAGAACGCCGCGGUGAAUACGUUCCCGGGCCUUGUACACACCGCUCGCGA
rnacentral:rRNA from 1 species